CAGCAGCCGCGGUAAAACAGAGGGUGCGAGCGUUAAUCGGAUUUACUGGGCGUAAAGCGUGCGUAGGCGGCUUCUUAAGUCGGAUGUGAAAUCCCUGAGCUUAACUUAGGAAUUGCAUUCGAUACUGGGAAGCUAGAGUAUGGGAGAGGAUGGUAGAAUUCCAGGUGUAGCGGUGAAAUGCGUAGAGAUCUGGAGGAAUACCGAUGGCGAAGGCAGCCAUCUGGCCUAAUACUGACGCUGAGGUACGAAAGCAUGGGGAGCAAACAGGAUUAGAUACCCCCGUAGUCCCUGUCUAUUAUAA
rnacentral:rRNA from 1 species